rnacentral:rRNA from 1 species
AGUAACACGUAAACAACCUGCCUUAAGGAUGGGGAUAACAGACGGAAACGACUGCUAAUACCGAAUACGUUCUAAGCAUCGCAUGAUGCAUAGAAGAAAGGGUGGCCUCUACAAGAAAGCUAUCGCCUUAAGAGGGGUUUGCGACUGAUUAGGUAGUUGGUGGGGUAACGGCCUACCAAGCCGACGAUCAGUAGCCGACCUGAGAGGGUGACCGGCCACAUUGGGACUGAGACACGGCCCAA